rnacentral:rRNA from 1 species
GUUGGCUUAGAAGCAGCCAUCAUUUAAAGAAAGCGUAAUAGCUCACUGGUCGAGUCGGCCUGCGCGGAAGAUGUAACGGGGCUAAACCAUGCACCGAAGCUGCGGCAGCGACGUUUAUGCGUUGUUGGGUAGGGGAGCGUUCUGUAAGCCUGUGAAGGUGGCCUGUGAGGGUUGCUGGAGGUAUCAGAAGUGCGAAUGCUGACAUAAGUAACGAUAAAGCGGGUGAAAAGCCCGCUCGCCGGAAGACCAAGGGUUCCUGUCCAACGUUAAUCGGGGCAGGGUGAGUCGACCCCUAAGGCGAGGCCGAAAGGCGUAGUCGAUGGGAAACGGGUUAAUAUUCCCGUACUUGGUGUUACUGCGAAGGGGGGACGGAGAAGGCUAUGUUGGCCGGGCGACGGUUGUCCCGGUUUAAGCGUGUAGGUGUGUGUUCCAGGUAAAUCCGGUUCACUUUAACACUGAGGCGUGAUGACGAGGCACUACGGUGCUGAAGCAACAAAUGCCCUGCUUCCAGGAAAAGCCUCUAAGCAUCAGGUAACAUCAAAUCGUACCCCAAACCGACACAGGUGGUCAGGUAGAGA